rnacentral:ncRNA from 2 species
CUCUUAUCAAGAGCAGGUGGAGGGAUGAGCCCUAUGAAACCCGGCAACCGGUUUAUAAAAAACACGGUGCUAAUUCUUACAGUCAUCCGAUUGAUAGAUGAGAG